GACGAACGCUGGCGGCGUGCUUAACACAUGCAAGUCGAGCGGUAAGGCCCUUUCGGGGGUACGACGAGCGGCGAACGGGUGAGUAACACGUGGGUGACCUGCCCUUACGCUCUGGGAUAAGCCUGGGAAACUGGGUCGUAAUACCGGAUAUGACUCCAUAACGCAUGUUGUGGGGUGGAAAGCCUUGUGCGGCUAGGGAUGGCCCGCGGCCUAUCAGCUUGUUGGUGGGGUGAUGGCCUACCAAGGCGACGACGGGUAGCCGGCCUGAGAGGGCGACCGGCCACACUGGGACUGAGACACGGCCCAGACUCCUACGGGAGGCAGCAGUGGGGAAUCUUGCGCAAUGGGCGAAAGCCUGACGCAGCGACGCCGCGUGGGGAUGACGGCCU
rnacentral:rRNA from 1 species